rnacentral:misc_RNA from 1 species
UGCUCGCGCAUCGAACUACAAACCACCUGUCCUUCUCAGUUGCUUCACGAGCAAUGAUAUGCUCGUUGACUAGAUCCGGGGCUUGUGUUGCGUACCUAACAGAAGGAAUUGUUGAGUUUGGCUUACAACGUUGUUCGUGGCUUCUCCUUUGCCGGGGAAGCCGCGAUCACAAAAGUCGGCGCUUGUGAUCCUUGCUCCUUGGCAUGAAAUGCCUUGCUUGCACAGGCGAAUAAGCCGUCGGCCGAACUUUCGGAUGCGGAACGGUUAUGGAUGGUGACUCGAAGCAAUUCAGUCCCACCAAAUCACGUUGACCCAUUGGCAAAAGAUGACGGCCAAGUCCCCGUCCGUUCUCUCUUACCUAGCGUUUGAGAGAAUCAGGCGGGGGCUUGCCGUGAUUUACGGAUGCUACCUGGU